GACGGAUGGCGGUGUCAGGGAUGAGUCAUCUACCAUUGCUCCAAACCAAGAGACCAAUCAACCUCGUCGGGGACGACCUCGCACACGUCAGUCUACGCGUCCAACCCAAGAGAGCAAUCCCACUGGUACAAGGGCCAACACACGUCGCGCUACGACUCAGCCGCAACGAUGUGGCCGUCGCGGGGAUCGGGAUUGAAUGUUAGCGGGGAUCAAGUGUGGGAACCUGAAAUGUCUCAAAAUGGU